rnacentral:rRNA from 1 species
UACGUAGGGCGCAAGCGUUAUCCGGAAUUAUUGGGCGUAAAGAGCUCGUAGGCGGUUUGUCGCGUCUGCUGUGAAAACUCGGGGCUUAACUCCGGGCCUGCAGUGGGUACGGGCAGACUAGAGGUAGGUAGGGGAGAAUGGAAUUCCCGGUGUAGCGGUGAAAUGCGCAGAUAUCAGGAGGAACACCGGUGGCGAAGGCGGGCACCUGGGUCGAUACUGACGCUGAGGCGACGAAAGCGUGGGGAGCAACAGG